CCCGUUGGUCAAGCGGUUAAGACACCGCCCUUUCACGGCGGUAACACGGGUUCGAGUCCCGUACGGGUCA
rnacentral:tRNA from 1 species